UACGUAGGUGGCGAGCGUUGUCCGGAUUUACUGGGUGUAAAGGGCGUGUAGGCGGGCUUUUAAGUCAGAUGUGAAAUGCCGCAGCUCAACUGCGGAACUGCAUUUGAAACUGAAAGUCUUGAGUGUCGGAGAGGAAAGCGGAAUUCCUAGUGUAGCGGUGAAAUGCGUAGAUAUUAGGAAGAACACCGGUGGCGAAGGCGGCUUUCUGGACGAUAACUGACGCUGAGGCGCGAAAGCGUGGGGAGCAAACAGG
rnacentral:rRNA from 1 species